ensembl:lncRNA PANTR1 POU3F3 adjacent non-coding transcript 1
UAAAAGUUAAAGGUAAUUUGCAAAGAAAAUGCUCAGUUUGAAUUGGUUUGUAAUAUCUGUUAAUGAUCUUUAAAAAAAUCCACUUAUUCACAAUUCUGUCCCUGGGGGAAUUCCAAUGUGCUAUCAGAAAAAAUUUCUAAAGUCUGAAAUGUCAUUAGCUAGUGAUUUCUUUGAAGUAAAAAGCCCCGAAAAAAAUAAAUUAUAUAAGGUAUACAAGUGCACAGGACAAUCACUUUGAUGAAUAAUAUCUCUUUUUUUCAUAACGUUUCAUACCUAAAAAUGCAACAACUGAAAUUCAAGCUGGUAAAUUAUAGAGCCAUCUUUUGAAUUACCUCAAUGUAGGCAUGCCUUCUGUUUAUUUCUCACAUAUAUUGAGUUCUUCCAUAUAUUUAUAGAUUGUUGAUAUAAAAACAGUAGUGUUAGGAACAAUUUUGAUGAUAUUCAUUGUGUUUUCUUUUUGGAAACACAAAGUGUUGCCUAAAUACAGGCAUACAGGUGUUGCCAUCCGGGGAUUAAAACAAUAGCCUAUUUCAAUAUUCCAUCCUGGACCCCAGAGCCAGGUGCCGUGAAUGGAGGUGCAAAUGCUACUCAGCCCGGGAGAGUUGUUCAAUAUUAGAUAACAGAGCCAUGAAAUACUACACCAAAGGGAAAAUUUUCUUCCUGACCCCAGCUGGUGAUCAGUUUUUGCCUGGAAGCAGGGGAGUCUUUGUAAUACAAUACUUGUCAAUGUUGUUGGUUUGGCUGCUAUAAAUAGCUAUUUUUUUUGGAGGAUGGGAGGAGUUGGAUUUUACUAAACCAUUGGCUACAGGUUAAUUAUACAUUUCAUAAAAAAGCAUUUCUUGUAGCCAGUCUAAAUUUGUUACGUUUUAAUCCCAUUUUAUAUAAGGCUAGAAAUAUAUGAGCCUCCAGCAGGCCCGUUAUUUUUGUCAUUAUUUUAUACAUUGGACCUUCAGCUCUCUAUCUCUCUUUUUUUCUUUUUCCUCUCUAUGCAUUACUCACCUCUUAGCUAAAUUGCAGAGGGUCCCAGUUUCAUUCAUUCUCCCUCACAGGGAAGGCAUUCUCUUCCUCUUCCUCCAGCUGCCUGAAAAUCAUAUGCGUGGUUUUUCCUGUUUCCUGCUCUGUAGCUGACAUCAGGGGAGCAACGUGAACACAGGAAAAUGGAAAUCAACAUUUGAAACUUUUAAAUGGAAGCUUUAUUGGGGUUCCACAUAUGGAAAACUGCAAAUAGCAGAAGUAUGUGACUCAAUAAAUUAUUCUGGAGUGACCACAUCCUCUAACUGCCUCCCAGGACAAGACGGAGAAUGUGAACAAUGCUCCUGAAGGCCCCUUUCCCUCAAAGAAUCACUGCAAUUGAAGGAAAAAUGCUCCAUGUCCCCUCUGCCAGUUGGUGUUUAUCAAAGGACAACGGAGGAAGAGAGACAAAGUGCCUGGAUGUGUGUGUUAAUCAAGAGUUGUCAGGACCCUGCCUCUAAAAGAAAGCGCUAAAAUGAUGCUUUUGACAAGACUUUUCUCAAAGUGGAUGCAGUCUAAGGGUUGGAAAACAAGGCCCAAUCAGGCUAGGUCUGACUUGUCGCCUGCUUUUGUAAAUAAAGUUUUAU